rfam:Microgenomates bacterium GW2011_GWC1_39_7 TT57_C0005, whole genome shotgun sequence.
GGAGCUGUAGCUCAGAGGUAGAGCAUUCGCUUCACAUGCGAAGGGUCACAGGUUCAAAUCCUGUCAGCUCCA